UCUGAGGGGACUCCGGGGGGAUCCCGGUGCCCCGGGGCUUCCCCAGCUCCGGAGGGAGCACAGGAGGGCCUUUGGACACUGCCGGUGCCGCUCUGCCCUCACGGGUUUGCUCGCGCUUGUCGUGUAUUUCACGUCUUUUUGUUUAUUUGUUUGUUUAUUUUCCUGUGCCAAAUCUUAAAAGGGAAAAAUGACUCAUUCGCAGUAGUUCUGAGUGGAGCUGGCUUAACCCUACGCUAGACGUCAUAGUUGGCAGCAGCUGCUGCCAGACUUAGGUAAACAGGAAUGUCUAGCAGCAAAAUGAAGUAGUAGCAUAAAAAUGCAGUUGCACUAAAACUGUUAUCAAAUGGUAAGAAAACAACUGAAGUGGCAGAUGAGGAGAGGAGAGAGAGAAAAACUGCAGUUUCAGUGCUAACACCUCAGUACCCAUUUCUGAUGUCUCAGUAUUUUUAAUUUCCUCCUGAGAAUUUUUGGAAGAAGACCACCCUGCUGUCAUCCUCCUGGGAUAAGCAAAAAGGAAAUGAAUCUUCAAAAGACCUGAAAGGCUGUUUGGUCUUUCUUCCAUAGACUUUCACUAGAAGCUUCUCCAGCAGCUCUGAGGAGCUGCAGCAGUCUGUCACAUGCUGCUGAAGGCACACUUCAAUCCCAGCAGCUGGCACAAGGGUGUGUGAGGAUGGGAGCGCUCUUGGCGUAAGUGUUGGAAGAUCAUCCCACUAAGAAGGAUCCAGCUUGGAUCCUGUGUCCAGAGUCUCCCUGGAGUAUGGUAAGCCAAGAAGGAGCCUCAGGUGCAAAGCAGCAUGUGUGUCAGAUCAGGGCCAGGCAUGAACCAAAGUCAAACUGUUGGUGGGGUACUCCAAAGAGAUCAAGCUGGCCUGAAAUAUUGGCCAUGCAACUCCCCCAGGUCCAGAGUAGUUCUUGUUCCCAGCACUGUCAGCUUUGUUUUGGAGAGACUGUUACAGAAUGCUUCCAAACUUCACAAUUCACAGAGACUAACACCUAUAGUACAAAAUAGUUACAUCUCUAACUCCUAUGUGCCACAUUGCAAGUCAAAUUGUUCCCCUAUUCUUUUCCCUUUGUACCCCUUGUUCCUUACACAUAUGCAGGGUGAGCACAGCAUGGUGUUGGCUCUGUCCUUGGGCACUCCUGAGUCAUCCAUGCUUUACCCCCUUAGCAGUCAAGGGAUGUUUCCUCUGACUUCAAUGCCAUGAGUCACCAUGGUGGAUGAGUGGUCUUUCUGUUCUGUGAUAUUGAUAACCCUGGGAAAAAAACAAACUUGUCAUAAACUCUGUGGAGAUACUGAGCCUUGAGAAAAAUCAGGAUGGUCUUUUAUUUUACUACAUCUUGCUUGGUUAAGACUCAUAACAGCUUUCUUUCCCUUCUGUUUAAUAAUAAAUCUCUUUUUUUCACCCUUACCAAGCUCUGCAAAUACACCUUCCCAUCCUGUAUUUCCUCUACUCAGCAUCAGGGAAAAGCUGGGCACACACGUAUUGCAUAGCUUUGGACAUUACAGAAGCAAAGAGAAAGAAAGGUCACACAUGAGUCUUAUCUCUGGCUUUGCAGUUCUGGCCUGUUUUGCAAGCAAGACACAUAUGUCCUUUAAUUAUUCAUUAGGGUAACUGCAAACUCUCUGAGACUGCCUGCACCUCUUGCAGCAGAGGAGGCUGUGGCUGUAACACCGGCACAGAGGUACACAAACAACCAGAAAAAGUAAGAUAUUUGUCAGAAAUAAAGUGCAGGAAAACAGAGAGAAGAAUGAAGCAAUUAAUCAUUCAGAAAGGAGGGAGUAGGGCAGGGAGGGAGAGAGAAAGAGAGAGAGAGAGAGAGAAUGGCAAAAGAAACCUGAUAGCUUGUGCUGCCUCCCCUGAAGUCUGUCAGCCCACUGGCAGGAAGAUUAAGGCUGUUGAUGGGAAUUCCUUUCUCACCACAGUCGGCUUAAAAAGCACAGGACAAUAACCUACUUUUACAGGUCUGGCUGUGGCUUUCCCACAACACAUCUUUUUCUCCCCUUACUCUAAACAAAAAAGGAUGAUCCCUUGCGGUGCCUGUUAUCUGAGUGCUGCCCUCACAGCUGAGGUGAAGGUAUUGAUUGAAACACUUGGACAUUUAUUGGAUUUGCAGCUUUUCUGAUGUGUGAAAAAUGCUUUGUCCCGCUCAAGUCAUACAGUCCUACAUGCUCCAGCAUUUGCUGAUGUAACCACCAAAGGUCCAGACCCUCUGCUAGACUUCUUUUGUGAAGAGACCAAGCAGUGAAAUCCCUGCAAGGCAGAAUACAGAUUUCAAAGCAUCAGAUUUAACAAUAUACUUGACUCUGGACUUGAAGAGCCUGCACAGCUUAGAGUUCACCUCCCCUUGACCCUCUGGGAAGGACAAUACCCACUGCUGUAUCCACAGCUUAAGCUGGAUUGCCUGUUUCAGUAUCUUGCUCUUUUAGGAACCUGUUUAGCAGAGGGAAUUUGCACUGGCAGGUUGCCCUGGAUGGCUCCUUGAAUCAAGUUCUCCAUCCCUGCCCAUGGCUUAUUUACUGGAUUCAGUACUUGUGGAAUGGGGAAAAGCAAGAAAGAAAAGAAAAAAAUUAUUUAGAGGCAAGGUCAGUGCCAUCCUUUUGCCCCAUAAGAAUAGAACCUUUUGCUUUCUAGUUUAUACAGACCUGCAAGAUUUUGAUCUGAGCAAGGAAAGAAUGAUUGACCCUCUUACAAAGACUCUUGCACCACUCUCUUACACCUGUGCUUUACUUUUACCCUUGUUUGCUAAUAUCACAAAGAAGGCAAUGUGUCCUGGGGAAGGUGACAUUUCUGUGCUCUGUGAUGACAUCACUGGCAUCAGUCACUUGCUCUUGGAUCUCUGUGUGCUUGAGUCAGCCUGGCCUUUUUGCAUUUUCAGAAAGGGCCAUCCCUGGAGUGAUUUCCAGGCUAAAAGAUCGUUGGUUCUGUACACACAGGAUCCUUCUGUGUUGCAAGAGCAUCAGCUCUUGAAAUGCCUGAUCUAAAUCUCCACAAGAACUACUCACUAUUGCAGUACCUGAGGAGUGAAGUCUCACAUCAGCCUUCAGCAGUGCAAUUAAAACAAAACAGCCUCAUGUUUGACUUGUUUCCAAUACAUGAUUCUUCUAUUUUCCGGGUUGAGGCUCUCCAAAUAACCAGGCUGAAGUAGAGCAGGAAGAACAGAAAUGGUAGUUGGGUGUCCACUUACCAGCAGCAACUGUCCCAGCUCUCAGCUGAAAUAUAUUUUAGGAUCCUAAUAGAUAAUGCCACCAUUUCUUUGUAAAGAAAAUGCAUUGUUAUAUUCUUAACAGUUUUUCAUAGGUAUUUGAUUGGGAUGACACAUAUAAAAUAAAAAGUAGCAUACAAAGGAGUUUUAGAAGCAGUAACAUACCAUAUUUCUAAAAAGCCAAACCAAUAAUUAAAUUCACAGGACAAUGGAUUUUUAAUUUUUUUUUUUUUUAAGUGGAAGUCAAUAUGUUGUGCUAUAAACAAAGCUUUAAUCCAGGGUUACUCCAGAUAACACAGUUAUGUUUUGCAGUCAAUAGUCCCCAAAAGAACAUUAAGCUUGUAUAGAUGCCGGACUAAGAAGGUGGCAUAUUUACAAUACAUUUCACUGAUUUAUAUGUGCUUUUCCCUCUCCAUCCAAGCAAUAGCUUUUCUUCAUCCCUAUCCUAACAGAUGCAGCAAUGGGGUUUGUUUCAGGCUUUGUUUGGGAGAUUAAAACCAUCUCAGUAUAAUCUCUUUUUGUUUUAUACAUUGAAGGAAGCAUUAGAGAUGAAAAUGAAAGCCACAAUGGAUUUCAUUAAUCACACCGGGAGGCUUGGUUUGCUGUAGUAGGCACUUCCAGCAGAAGGUGCUCACAAUCAGUUUAAAUAUUAAACGCCCUCCUGUGUUUAAAUAGUGAUGAGAAAAUCUGUGCAAUCACAGCUCCUCUUGGGACAGGGGUUCUUUUAAAAGGGCCAAUAUUGUCCAAACCAUCUCAUCUUAUGGUCAAUCCCUCUUUCCAGCGAUGUAAGCCUCUGUGGAACUGCAAGGACAAAAGGACUGGAAAAGUCAGUGCCUGGGGGAAUUGCUGUGAGAUAAAGGAAGUGUCACCUCUGGGUCACCAGCGCAAAAGAAAUAAUGGUCAUAAGGCCCAACAGUUACGGUGGUGGGACAGGUGCUGGCAGCACGACGCACCAGCCUGCCCAGUCCUUGGAGAGUAGGUGCUCACAUUACAAAAAGCAGCACUGCUGUUAACUGAUGCUGCCAAGAAAAAGGCCAAGAUUCAACGGGUCCCCCAAGCUGGGCUGUUGGGGUGUAUCCCCACAAAAGGCCAAGUCCCAGUGGCAGAUGGCCAGAGGGAAGUUUGCAUUCCCACAAUUCAUGUUCUAACUGUUACGAAUAAUCAGCAGCUCUCCGGGGCCCCGAGUCUGACGCCAGGCAGGAGCCAGCCCUACUUGAAAACUGCAUCAGUCACCAACUGUCCCAGCCAAAAACAUCCUUGGACUGAUGUGUUGGGUCUGUUGCAUACAGAUGAACAUGGUCUAAGUGAAGGAAAGGAAAGCAAGCCCCAAGAAAGAAGCGUACAAAGAAAAAAGCUGUAAAACUCAUAAUUCCUGUCUGCAGAAUCUUGGAAUCAAAAGCACAAGUUCCCUUUAAAAUGUUUUUGUGCCAUCACUGUUAAAGCCUUGCUUGAAAUUAGAGUAUAAUCAGAAAUUGAGGGAAUGGGGUCUUAGCAAAUGUGACAAUAU